ensembl:lncRNA
CUUAGAUGGAGGCAUGAGAGGCUGUGGGGGUCCAACAGGGUUGGGAAGAGUGCCUGGACUCUGAAACACUGUGAUGCACUGAUGGGCAGAGGGCCUGUUGCCAUGUAGUAGGCUGAAAUGAGGACAUACUGGGCCAAAUGAAGUUGGCUAGUUAAUUGGGGGUCAAAUGAAGACACGGGGCUCAGAUGAGCUCACAUGAGGUCAAAUCAAGGAAAAUAAGUGGUCCUGAAGGUCAAAUGUGUUUAAUUGGGGUCAGACGAUGUCUUAAAGGUCAUACAAGGUCACAGAGGUCAAGCGAGGUCAAAUCACAGAAAAUAAGUUGUCUGAAAGGUCAAAUGAGGUUAAUUGGGGUCACACGAGGUCACGAAGGUCAUACGAGGUCACAGAGGUCAAGGGAGGUCAAAUUAAGGAAAAAUAAGAGGCCUGAAAGGUCAAAUGAGGUUAAUUGGGGUCAAACGAGGACACAAAGGUCAGCUGAGGUCACAGAGGUCAAGUGAGGUCAAAUCACAGGAAAAUAAGUGGUCUGAAAGGUCAAAUGAGGUUAAUUGGGGUUAAAUGAGGACGCAAAGGUCAUACGAGGUCACAGAGGUCAAGUGAGGUCAAAUCAAGGCAAAAAUGUACUCCGAAAGGUCAAAUGAGGUUAAUUGGGGUCAAACGAGGACACAAAGGUCAUAUGAGGUCACAG